CUUAGGAACCUUACAGGUGCUGGUUGCCAAGCAAGGAGCAAACAAUGCUGAGACAACACCAAGGUAUGGCCCUUGGACUUUGGAGUCAGAAGUGACAUUUGGGUGACAUUGAGCCACAGCAGCAAGCAGAGGGAGGCCCUGUGCAAGCAGGUAUUAACCUAGUUCAGAGGCCAGUGCCUCUCUGGACAGGUUGUUCAAGCCCAUAGCUCCAAGGGGGCAGGCAGGACUAACAGCUCAUGCAGAGGCUGGAGGUGGUCAGCAGAGGGAGCUUGAGUCUACAGCAAAGAACUGCUUCCUUCGUUUUGACACGUUCUCCCCAGCCCAUCGUCUUUAGCAUACCUCAUUGCCAUGGAUAUUUGCAGAUCCAGCUGAUGGGCAGCUCAUUUGUUGUGAUGGAAGAAACCUUGAAGAACUCCCUGCUACCCACUUAUUUUCAAGGUUUCCAGGAUGGCGCAGUGCAAAAGGAGCAGGAUUUCUGCUGUCUCUUCUGAGCAUUCAGUCAUCAGAAAGUCAUCAGGGAGAGGGCUCAUUCUCGCUUUCGUUCCCCUCACACUUCAUUUUUUUCAUCCACUAUCUCCCAAUGGUGACACCAUCAUCUUCCCACGGACAAAAGAGGAGUUCAGAGUCUUUGAAAGAAGAAAACAAACUCAGUAACUCAAGAAGGAGCCUAGACAGGCAAUGUUGCAAAUUAAGUUGAAAGAGGCACAGUUACUGCACCAUUAUUUGAUUUCCCCUUCUCUAAUCCCUUGCUUGUAAUUAGCAUAAUUUAUUAACAUAUUAGAGCCAUGCAUGUGAACCCUCUUUAUAGUUGCUGAGUGCUCCCUGAGGCUGCCUAGUGAAAGCUUUUCCCCACUGUUUAAUAAUAUGUUACAUAAGGAAAACCAGCUUCUGA
rnacentral:lncRNA from 1 species